rnacentral:rRNA from 1 species
GUUGUAUAGUCAAGUAAUUAAGUGCAUGUGGUGGAUGCCUUGGCAGUCAGAGGCGAUGAAAGACGUGAUAGCCUGCGAAAAGCUCCGGGGAGGCGGCAAAUAUCCUUUGAUCCGGAGAUGUCUGAAUGGGGGAACCCACCUACUUUAAGGUAGGUAUUGCAACAUGAAUACAUAGUGUUGCAAGGCGAACGAGGGGAAGUGAAACAUCUCAGUACCCUUAGGAAAAGAAAUCAAUUGAGAUUCCCUCAGUAGCGGCGAGCGAACGGGGAUCAGCCCAUUAAGUUAUGUGUGUUUUAGUGGAACGCUCUGGGAAGUGCGAACGUAGAGGGUGAUAUUCCCGUACACGAAAGGGCACACAUAAUGAUGACGAGUAGGGCGAGGCACGUGAAACCUUGUCUGAAUAUGGGGGGACCAUCCUCCAAGGCUAAAUACUCCUGACUGACCGAUAGUGAACCAGUACCGUGAGGGAAAGGCGAAAAGAACCCCUGUGAGGGGAGUGAAAUAGAUCCUGAAACCGCAUGCAUACAAGCAGUGGGAGCACCUUCGUGGUGUGACUGCGUACCUUUUGUAUAAUGGGUCAGCGACUUAUAUUCAGUAGCAAGGUUAACCGUAUAGGGGAGCCGUAGAGAAAUCGAGUCUUAAUAGGGCGUUUAGUUGCUGGGUAUAGACCCGAAACCAGGCGAUCUAUCCAUGAGCAGGUUGAAGGUUGGGUAACACUAACUGGAGGACCGAACCCACUGUCGUUGAAAAGCCAGGGGAUGACUUGUGGAUAGGGGUGAAAGGCUAAUCAAGCCUGGUGAUAGCUGGUUCUCCCCGAAAGCUAUUUAGGUAGCGCCUCGGACGAAUACCAUAGGGGGUAGAGCACUGUUUCGGCUAGGGGGUCAUCCCGACUUACCAAACCGAUGCAAACUCCGAAUACCUAUGAGUACUAUCCGGGAGACAGACUGCGGGUGCUAACGUCCGUAGUCAAGAGGAAAACAAUCCAGACCGCCAGCUAAGGCCUCAAAAUCAUAGUUAAGUGGGAAACGAUGUGGGAAGGCAUAGACAGCUAGGAGGUUGGCUUAGAAGCAGCCACCCUUUAAAGAAAGCGUAAUAGCUCACUAGUCGAGUCGGCCUGCGCGGAAGAUGUAACGGGGCUAAAACUAUGUGCCGAAGCUGCGGAUGUAUACUUUGUAUACGUGGUAGGGGAGCGUUCUGUAAGCCGAUGAAGGUGUGUUGAGAAGCAUGCUGGAGGUAUCAGAAGUGCGAAUGCUGACGUGAGUAACGACAAAACGGGUGAAAAACCCGUUCGCCGAAAGACCAAGGGUUCCAGUCCAACGUUAAUCGGGGCUGGGUGAGUCGACCCCUAAGGCGAGGCCGAAAGGCGUAGUCGAUGGGAAAAUGGUUAAUAUUCCAUUACUUCUGUGUAAUGCGAUGAGAGGACGGAGAAGGCUAAAUCAGCCUGGCGUUGGUUGUCCAGGUGAAAGGAUGUAGGCAUGUAUCUUAGGCAAAUCCGGGGUACUCUAUGCUGAGAUCUGAUAGCAAGCUGUACUUGUACAGCGAAGUGGUUGAUGCCAUGCUUCCAGGAAAAGUCUCUAAGCUUCAGUUACACAGGAAUCGUACCCGAAACCGACACAGGUGGUCAGGUCGAGUAGACCAAGGCGCUUGAGAGAACUCUGCUGAAGGAACUAGGCAAAAUGGUACCGUAACUUCGGGAGAAGGUACGCUGUUGUUGGUGAUGGAACUCGCUUCCUGAGCUGACGACAGCCGCAGAAACCAGGCCGCUGCAACUGUUUAUUAAAAACAUAGCACUCUGCAAACACGAAAGUGGACGUAUAGGGUGUGAUGCCUGCCCGGUGCUGGAAGGUUAAUUGAUGGGGUUAGCGUAAGCGAAGCUCUUGAUCGAAGCCCCAGUAAACGGCGGCCGUAACUAUAACGGUCCUAAGGUAGCGAAAUUCCUUGUCGGGUAAGUUCCGACCUGCACGAAUGGCAUAAUGAUGGCGGCGCUGUCUCCAGCAGAGGCUCAGUGAAAUCGAAAUCGCUGUGAAGAUGCAGUGUACCCGCGGCUAGACGGAAAGACCCCGUGAACCUUUACUGCAGCUUGACACUGAACUUUGACCUUACUUGUGUAGGAUAGGUGGGAGGCUUUGAAGCUGGAACGCUAGUUCCAGUGGAGCCGUCCUUGAAAUACCACCCUGGUAAUGUUGAGGUUCUAACUCUGUCCCGUGAUCCGGGACGAGGACCGUGUCUGGUGGGUAGUUUGACUGGGGCGGUCUCCUCCUAAAGAGUAACGGAGGAGUACGAAGGUGCGCUCAGCGUGGUCGGAAAUCACGCGUAGAGUAUAAAGGCAAAAGCGCGCUUAACUGCGAGACCCACAAGUCGAGCAGGUACGAAAGUAGGUCUUAGUGAUCCGGUGGUUCUGUAUGGAAGGGCCAUCGCUCAACGGAUAAAAGGUACUCUGGGGAUAACAGGCUGAUACCGCCCAAGAGUUCAUAUCGACGGCGGUGUUUGGCACCUCGAUGUCGGCUCAUCUCAUCCUGGGGCUGAAGCAGGUCCCAAGGGUAUGGCUGUUCGCCAUUUAAAGAGGUACGCGAGCUGGGUUUAGAACGUCGUGAGACAGUUCGGUCCCUAUCUACCGUGGGCGCUGGAAAUUUGAGAGGAUCUGCUCCUAGUACGAGAGGACCAGAGUGGACGAACCUCUGGUGUACCGGUUGUGACGCCAGUCGCAUCGCCGGGUAGCUAUGUUCGGAAGGGAUAACCGCUGAAAGCAUCUAAGCGGGAAGCCUACCUCAAGAUAAGAUUUCCCUAGGACUUUAUGUCCUCUAAAGAGCCGUUCGAGACUAGGACGUUGAUAGGUUGGAUGUGGAAGCAUAGUGAUAUGUGAAGCUGACCAAUACUAAUUGCUCGUGAGGCUUGACUAUACAACACCCAAGCAGUUG